CCUCCUCCUGUCGAGACCAGGGCUCUGCCUUUUAACUUCUCUCCUUGUAAUGGAGAGAAGAAAAGAUAACCACCGACUCCUUUAAUUCUCUUGCACAGAUCUCCCUGUCGUCAAUGACACACGUCACACAUGGAUUCCUCCAUACUGUGGUCAGGAAAAGAGAAGAUUGCACCACGCAUGCUCUUUAUAGGAGCACGUGUGUCAGAUUCAAAGAGGAAGUUACCACUCGUCUUGUCGGACGAUGGAAGAUAGCCCGUGAUGGUUACUUCUCUCCUGCCCCCUCGGCUCUGCGCCGUGGGGACAGGGUUUGGCUGGAUCGGAUUGCUGAAUGUGGGAAACGCCGCAGUUUGUGUGGAACGCCACAGCUUUAUUUGCAAUUAGGUUGAAGGCAAUGGGCAGCAAUGGGGAUGCUGUACGGACAGAAGAGCAGGUGAGGGGUUCAUGCUUCCCUCCUUCCCGGCUGUCAUGACGAGGAUGUCACAAGUUCCAGGGGGCAGAGUUCAAAGGUGGUGGAGGCUGGGUCUGGUCUGCCUGAAUCCUGAGUGACCGUAUGGAGCAGAGCUUCCUGCUGGUCUGCGUGACUGGGCUCUGCGUGUGAUGACUCAAAUUUAUGUGUGAGAAGAUGCCUGGGCUAUGACUCAGCUGUUAAAGAACCCGCCUGCCAAUGCAGGAGACACAGGAGACGUGGGUUUGAUCCCCGGGUCACAAAGAUCCCCUGGAGGAGGAAAUGGCAACCCACUCCAGUAUACUUGCGUGGAGAAUCGCAUGGAUAGAAGAGCCUGGUGGGCUACAGUCCACGGGGUCACAAAGAGUCAGACACGACAGAAGUAACAGCAUUAUCAGAGCGAGAACUUAGAUCUCAGACUCCCUAGAUCGAACUGCCUAUGUAGUUGUCUGCUUGGACUAUGAGUAAAGCUUGUCCUCAUUGUCAAAAGUCUCCAUUUAUGGGCAAACACCUCCUCUCCAGGCUUCUUCAAUAUUCACCUGGGCCUCGCCUGUCUGCGCGAAUUACAGAUGAUUCAGAAACAUAAACUUUACACAGAGGGGUGCGCAAAAGGAUCAGCUCUUAGCAAGACAAUGAUGUUGGUCCUGAACGAGUUUAAGGCCCUUCUUCUUUCUGCUCGUGUGUGUGGCUGUAUUUAAAGUACCUUCUCCUUAGGGAGAAAUUGUUAAGACACUAAACAUUUGCCCAUCCUCCUCCCGGUGAAGCGGGCUGGCCCUCCUCGCCCGGAUCCCUUCUGUCCAUCACGACACUGCCAACUUCACUCUGGCUGGGACCACACCCACUGACGUCGCCCUGUAUCUCGGUUCCUCCACUCCCACAUUUCAGCCGCCUAAUCUGAUGAGCGGUUUCUACAAGUGAGAAGGUUUUGCUCAGGAAACACAUGGUUUAUUUAACUCGGGCCUUCUGAAGACAAUGCCCCUGUUUUUCUUGUUUCUCCCAGUAAAAACCAGCACGUAGCAAGUCAAUACAGAAUUAUUUUUUUGGCAACAAAAGCUUCUCUGUAACAUUCAAACUAUGUGUUUCCCUGUCCAGAAGUUGGGUUGGUUUUGGCCAUGGUUCCUUAGAACAGUGAGGACAAGCAUAAUCGUUUUUCUUUCCUUCUCUCCUCUUUUGCAUGCCAUGAACAUUCCCAAAUUUUUCAGAGGCAUUAGAGACUGGGUGAGUCUUUCAACUGUUUCACACACACACACACACACAAUCCAUAGCUAAUGGUGAUAACCGAGAGAACACGAGGCCUGUUUGUUUUCUUUUGGGCGCUUUCCCUUUCUUUUUUGCCAAUUUCCACAGGCUGGGAAAGAGCUUACAGGACUUGCGCUCCGUGGAUCUGAGCGACGGGAGGCUGAAACAGAGCAUUAACAAAACACAUUAGGGAAAGAUCAGGUUGCGAGAAGAGCAGGUUGAGCUGGGAGGGCGGCCUCCCCCUGAGUUUGGAAUCCAGGGGUGUGCAGCUGGGUGCGAUGGUACUCACCCCGGGAAUGUUCCCCUCCCUGCAUUGUGUAGGAUCUGCCAGGCGGGACCUGACUAUUCAACCCAAAUUGUGGUCCGAGGAACGUGGUAUAAAGGGAUCUUUCAGAAAAGCCCUGCUGUCAUGAGCUUCCGUGAAUCGUUGCUCAGGGCGCGUUCCCAUUGGCUACAGGCGGGGGUGGGACUCCGGCCCCGCUGCUGAUUGGCUGCGCGUGUAGGUACUGAGCCUCCUGGAACCUCUGGUUUCUUCAUCAAUGAAAAGAGGCCCAUUAAAGCUGAAACUCCAGUACUUUGGCCACCUCAUGCGAAGAGU